ACUAAAAAGUUUAUCUUUGUGAAAGAGAAGGAGUAUUAAAAUUAAGAUUAUUUUUGCAAAAUAUUGAUUAAAUGUUGUCGUUUAAAAAAAAAUUAAUCAAUUUGAUGUGAGAGGAAAUGCCUUGGGAAUAUUAACAUCACAUUCAACGAGACCGUUGGUGUCUCUACACCACAUGGCCCACAUUGAUCCAAUUUUCCCAAACUCAACCACAUUCUCGGCCGUCAGCCACCUCUUCUCCGCCGUAGAACUUGAUCCUCUACGUAUAUUUCAAGUCUCCGUUUGCUACGACCGUUGGCGCUCUACCGUUGGCGCUCUUGGACCAUCUCUUUCUCCUGGGGCUACGCUGUUCAGAUUGAGAGUAGGCAUUUAUUUCUACGGGAUGUUUUGCGAACACAAAAAACGUUUCGAACAUGGAUAAAUUACGGCGGGUUGGCAAGAGUGUACACCUUCAACACAAGAGAUGUUCAUCCUGAUCCACGCCAAAGACCUGUCACUUUCUUCAUGGAACAUGUUUCUUCUUCUCCCGGUGAUGGAACUAUUAAAAGUGUGUAUAAGCAAGCUUACCAGAAUUGCACGUACGAUCCCAUUUCAUCUCCUCGAAAAAUCAAAGAGGUUAGAGUGUUUUCAACAAGGUUGGAUCCGGAUAUCAGACAAUUGAAGGCUCCGAGAAGACAGUGUUGUGAUAUAUUACCAACUUCUUCUCAUGGUGGAAAAGUAUUGGAAAUUGGAAUUCGAGAGUGCAAAGAGGAUGAGUUCAUCUAUAUACAUCCCUAGUAGCAACGUAACUAAUACGCUAUUAAUAACCUCUUUUUGUUUGUUACACUUGCUAUCCAAAUUUAACAUAUGUCGUUGCCAUAUAGGUUUAGUGAUUCUUCAUUUUUUCUGGUAAGAAGUUAUUCUUCAUUUUUGUAUACUAUAUACUUAUUAAA